GGUUUUUCUUGCAAGUUGCCAUCUUGAAUGACGUCAUUAUCGUUAUUAACUUAAUGUCUCGAAUCGAUAUAUCGCGAUUAUAACUAGAACUAGUACUAGUAUAACUAGUAUCGUUUAUCUUCGGUUUCGUUCGCAUAUGGAGCAGAUCGUAUAAUAUCGAAAGCAAUAUCGAUAUCACAUUCGUGAUUGUUGACGUUCGUUUGUAAAUAUUUUAUAGUUUGGCUGCCAUUUUGACCAUUUUUAUCGUGUUCAACCCAAUUAAACAUCGGUCUUCCACCGGGAGAUGGCGCUGGACCCCUUUUAGACGCUGGAGGACGUUGGAUCCCUUGGAUCAUCGUAUUUGAAGCUGAACUCACACGGAAUAGACAGGAACUAAGGACAUCACUCCAGAAAACUACUG